rnacentral:rRNA from 1 species
AUGUGAAAAUGCGGGGCUCAACUCCGUAUUGCGUUGGAAACUGGUAGACUAGAGUACUGGAGAGGUGGGCGGAACUACAAGUGUAGAGGUGGAAUUCGUAGAUAUUUGUAGGAAUGCCGAUGGAGAAGUCAGCUCACUGGACAGAUACUGACGCUAAAGCGCGAAAGCGUGGGGAGCAAACAGGAUUAGAUACCCUGGUAGUCCACGCCGUAAACGAUGAUCACUAGGUGUUGGGAGUCAAAUCUCAGCGCCCAAGCUAACGCGAUAAGUGAUCCGCCUGGGGAGUACGUACGCAA